AUUGAACGCUGGCGGCAGGCCUAACACAUGCAAGUCGAGCGAGCGGCGGACGGGUGAGUAAUGUCUGGGAAACUGCCCGAUGGAGGGGGAUAACUACUGGAAACGGUAGCUAAUAUCGCACACCAUCAGAUGUGUCCAGAUGGGAUUUGCUAGUGGGGGGGGUAACGGCUCACCUAGGCGCCGAUCCCUAGCUGGUCUGAGAGGAUGACCAGCCACACUGGAACUGAGACACGGUCCAGACUCCUACGGGAGGCAGCAGUGGGGAAUAUUGCACAAUGGGCGCAAGCCUGAUGCAGCCAUGCCGCGUGUGUGAAGAAGGCCUUCGGGUUGGAAAGCACUUUCAGCGGGGAGGCGUUACCCGCAGAAGAAGCACCGGCUAACUCCGUGCCAGCAGCCGCGGUAAUUC
rnacentral:rRNA from 1 species